CAAACAAAUGACUUAGCUCAUGGGGGCCUGCUAAUGAGAAAGCUUUACUUCCCUUCCAUUCACUUAUCAGUGAGAUACGGUUCACCAUAAUGUUCAAAUUCGUAUUGAGGAGAAUGGCAAUGAAACUGUGUUAUUACCAACAUAAAUGCUAAAUUUGCCUUUUCAAUUACAGGCUCAUUCUUUCCAGGUGGUGGAGAGCUGUUCUUACAAAACGUGUUACUGAUGGCUGUCAUUCCAAGAGCCUAUGGUUAUGGUGUAGAAAGACUUCUGGAAGCUGGUGAAAAUGGUACUCAGUCUAUACUAUGAAGCAUGUGAGUCUCACUUACUCAUCAAACUUCUGCAGCUGUUCUCAAUAAAUACCAUAAUUUAAUGCCUGUGUCA
rnacentral:lncRNA from 1 species